rnacentral:rRNA from 1 species
GAUGAACGCUGGCGGCGUGCCUAAUACAUGCAAGUCGAACGAAACUUCUUUAUCACCGAGUGCUUGCACUCACCGAUAAAGAGUUGAGUGGCGAACGGGUGAGUAACACGUGGGCAACCUGCCCAAAAGAGGGGGAUAACACUUGGAAACAGGUGCUAAUACCGCAUAACCAUAGUUACCGCAUGGUAACUAUGUAAAAGGUGGCUAUACUACCGCUUUUGGAUGGGCCCGCGGCGCAUUAGCUAGUUGGUAGGGUAAAGGCUUACCAAGGCAAUGAUGCGUAGCCGAAUUGAGAGGUUGAUCGGCCACAUUGGGACUGAGACACGGCCCAAACUCCUACGGGAGGCAGCAGUAGGGAAUCUUCCACAAUGGGCGAAAGCCUGAUGGAGCAACGCCGCGUGGGUGAAGAAGGUCUUCGGAUCGUAAAACCCUGUUGUUAGAGAAGAAAGUGCGUGAGAGUAACUGUUCACGUUUCGACGGUAUCUAACUAGAAAGCCACGGCUAACUACGUG